rnacentral:rRNA from 1 species
AAGGGAGAGGAAUACGUGGAUACCUACCCUCAGGUUCAGGAUAGCCAUGGGAAACUAUGGGUAAUACUGAAUAAUAUCUCCGGAUCAAAGGUGUGAUUCCACCUGAGGAGGGGUCCGCGUCCUAUUAGCUAGUUGGUGAGGUAACGGCUCACCAAGGCGAAGAUGGGUAUGGGAUGUGAGAGCAUGAUCCCACUCACUGGGACUGAGACACUGCCCAGACACCUACGGGUGGCUGCAGUCGAGAAUCUUCGGCAAUGGGGGCAACCCUGACCGAGCGACGCCGCGUGCGAGAUGAAGGCCUUCGGGUUGUAAAUCGCUGUCAGAGGGGAGGAAAUGCUAGUGGGUUCUCCCACUAGUUUGACCUAGCCUCAGAGGAAGGACGGGCUAAGUUCGUGCCAGCAGCCGCGGUAAGACGAACCGUCCAAACGUUAUUCGGAAUCACUGGGCUUAAAGGGUGCGUAGGCGGUCCGGGAAGUUGGGUGUGAAAGCCCUCGGCUCAACCGAGGAAUUGCGUCCAAAACUGCCGGGCUGGAGGGAGACAUAGGUGAGCGGAACUUAGGGU